UGCGCCUUGCCAGCCCGCUCAGAAACUCAAAGGAAUGACGGGGGCCCGCACAAGCAGCGGAGCGUGUGGUUUAAUUCGAUGAUACGCGAAGAACCUUACCUGGUCUUGACAUGCACGUGGUACUGAUUCGAAAGAUGAGGGACCCUUCGGGGAGCGUGCACAGGUGUUGCACGGCCGUCGUCAGCUCGUGCCGUGAGGUGUUGGGUUAAGUCUCGCAACGAGCGCAACCCCCGUCGCCAGUUGUAUUUUUCUGGCGAGACUGCCGGGAAAUCCCCGGAGGAAGGAGGGGAUGAUGUCAGGUCAGCGUGGCCCUUACGACCAGGGCUACACACACGCUACAAUGGGCAGUACAACGGGCAGCCAAGCCGCGAGGCGGAGCUAAUCCCAUCAAAGCUGUCCUCAGUUCGGAUUGCAGGCUGCAACUCGCCUGCAUGAAGCCGGAGUUGCUAGUAACCGCAGGUCAGCACUACUGCGGUGAAUACGUUCCCGGGCCUU
rnacentral:rRNA from 1 species